GUCAGUCUUUUGUGUCUGUGCCAUUGCUUUCAGUGGUCGUAUAUUAGUCAGCGGUAUCUGUGUCGUGUAACAAUUUCAAUAAUAUAUAACAACAAAUGGGAAUAUGAGAUAAAGAGAAAAAGCAAAAAGAACAAUAACUAUAUACAGUUGCGAUAAUAACGUACAAGGUUUGGUAGUAUUAAGUCAAUCGACGGUGUCUGACCCAGUCUAGGGGGGCCUAUCUAGAUUGGGGCCUUUUUGGCACCGCACAGUCAGUGGUUACCUGACUGUUGUCAGAUGUUGGUCUGAUACUUCUGG